rnacentral:rRNA from 1 species
GAUGAACGCUGGCGGCGUGCCUAAUACAUGCAAGUAGAACGCUGAAGGAAGGAGCUUGCUCUUUCCGGAUGAGUUGCGAACGGGUGAGUAACGCGUAGGUAACCUGCCUGGUAGCGGGGGAUAACUAUUGGAAACGAUAGCUAAUACCGCAUAACAGUAGAUGUUGCAUGAUAUCUACUUAAAAGGUGCAAUUGCACCACUACCAGAUGGACCUGCGUUGUAUUAGCUAGUUGGUGAGGUAACGGCUCACCAAGGCGACGAUACAUAGCCGACCUGAGAGGGUGAUCGGCCACACUGGGACUGAGACACGGCCCAGACUCCUACGGGAGGCAGCAGUAGGGAAUCGUCGGCAAGGGACGGAAGUCUGACCGGGCAACGCCGCGUGAGUGAAGAAGGUUUUCGGAUCGUAAAGCUCUGUUGUAAGAGAAGAACGAGUGUGAGAGUGGAAAGUUCACACUGUGACGGUAUCUUACCAGAAAGGGACGGCUAACUACGUG